UUACGGCCAAGUCACGUUGAAACAAGAGUACCUGUACGAUCACCAAAGUUAAGCAAAGUAGGGCCUGGUCAGUACCUAGAUGAGUGACCGCUUGAGAAAGACAGGUGUUGUAAG